rnacentral:rRNA from 2 species
UGGGGAAUCUUGCGCAAUGGGCGAAAGCCUGACGCAGCCAUGCCGCGUGUAUGAUGAAGGUCUUAGGAUUGUAAAAUACUUUCACCGGUGAAGAUAAUGACUGUAGCCGGAGAAGAAGCCCCGGCUAACUUCGUGCCAGCAGCCGCGGUAAUACGAAGGGGGCUAGCGUUGCUCGGAAUUACUGGGCGUAAAGGGAGCGUAGGCGGACAUUUAAGUCAGAGGUGAAAUCCCGGAGCUUAACUUCGGAACUGCCUUUGAUACUGGGUGUCUUGAGUGUGAGAGAGGUAUGUGGAACUCCGAGUGUAGAGGUGAAAUUCGUAGAUAUUCGGAAGAACACCAGUGGCGAAGGCGACAUACUGGCUCAUUACUGACGCUGAGGCUCGAAAGCGUGGGGAGCAAACAGG